rnacentral:snoRNA from 1 species
AUCAUCAGUAGUGGUUAAUACUAUCUCAAGAUAAUAUUAAUUACAUUACAACAUAGAAACCGAUGUACUAGUUGGUUUGUAUUUAAGAGUUUAAUGAGGACCAGUCUCCUUCGGGAAGCUGUGAAUCGUUAUAUUCAAGUUAAUACUGGUAUGGGCCGACUGGUACAGCAACACAACCCAUAGCUGAGUGAAUUUUGACCACCCCCAAACAAGGUGGGCACAAUUUUCAUUUCGUUUCCGGUUUCUUAGAUAAAUAUCUGCUAUGAGAGAGUUUGGGUCUGAAGAUUCAAAGGAGCAUGUUUCCAGAGGAUGGCGUAAAGCUAUCUGAGAGUUUGGAAUUUCCAUUGUGCCCUUUCUCAUGGUAGGACAACU